UACAGAGGUCUCAAGCGUUGUUCGGAUUCAUUGGGCGUAAAGGGUGCGUAGGUGGCGCUGUAAGUCGGGUGUGAAAUUUCGGAGCUUAACUCCGAAACUGCAUUCGAUACUGCGGUGCUUGAGGACUGGAGAGGAGACUGGAAUUCAUGGUGUAGCAGUGAAAUGCGUAGAGAUCAUGAGGAAGACCAGUGGCGAAGGCGGGUCUCUGGACAGUUCCUGACACUGAGGCACGAAGGC
rnacentral:rRNA from 1 species